rnacentral:rRNA from 1 species
AGAAUCAACGCUGGCGGCGUGCCUAACACAUGCAAGUCGAACGAGAAAGUGGAGCAAUCCAUGAGUACAGUGGCGUACGGGUGAGUAACACGUGACUAACCUACCCUCGAGUGGGGAAUAACCUCGGGAAACCGGGGCUAAUACCGCAUAACAUCUUCGGAUCAAAUGCGUAAGCAGCUUGAGGAGGGGGUCGCGGCCGAUUAGCUAGUUGGCGGGGUAAUGGCCCACCAAGGCAAUGAUCGGUAGCCGGCCUGAGAGGGCGCACGGCCACACUGGAACUGAAACACGGUCCAGACUCCUACGGGAGGCAGCAGUGGGGAAUUUUGCGCAAUGGGGGAAACCCUGACGCAGCAACGCCGCGUGGAGGAUGAAGCCCCUCGGGGUGUAAACUCCUUUCGAUCGGGACGAUUAUGACGGUACCGGAUGAAGAAGCACCGGCUAACUCUGCGCCAGCAGCCGC